GAGUUUGAUCCUGGCUCAGGAUGAACGCUGGCGGCGUGCCUAAUACAUGCAAGUCGAGCGAACCACUUCGGUGGUGAGCGGCGAACGGGUGAGUAACACGUAGGUCAUCUGCCCAUCAGACGGGGACAACGAUUGGAAACGAUCGCUAAUACCGGAUAGGACGAAAGUUUAAAGGUGCUCCUGGCACCGCUGAUGGAUGAGCCUGCGGCGCAUUAGCUAGUUGGUAGGGUAAAGGCCUACCAAGGCGACGAUGCGUAGCCGACCUGAGAGGGUGAACGGCCACACUGGGACUGAGACACGGCCCAGACUCCUACGGGAGGCAGCAGUAGGGAAUCUUCGGCAAUGGGCGAAAGCCUGACCGAGCAACGCCGCGUGAAUGAUGAAGGCCUUCGGGUUGUAAAAUUCUGUUAUAAGGGAAGAACGACUUUAGUAGGAAAUGGCUAAAGUGUGACGGUACCUUAUGAGAAAGCCACGGCUAACUACGUGCCAGCAGCCGCGGUAAUACGUAGGUGGCAAGCGUUAUCCGGAAUUAUUGGGCGUAAAGAGCGCGCAGGUGGUUGAUUAAGUCUGAUGUGAAAGCCCACGGCUUAACCGUGGAGGGUCAUUGGAAACUGGUCGACUUGAGUGCAGAAGAGGGAAGUGGAAUUCCAUGUGUAGCGGUGAAAUGCGUAGAGAUAUGGAGGAACACCAGUGGCGAAGGCGGCUUCCUGGUCUGUAACUGACACUGAGGCGCGAAAGCGUGGGGAGCAAACAGGAUUAGAUACCCUGGUAGUCCACGCCGUAAACGAUGAGUGCAAGUGUUGGGGGUCGAACCUCAGUGCUGAAGUUAACGCAUUAAGCACUCCGCCUGGGAGUACGGUCGCAGACUGAAACUCAAAG
rnacentral:rRNA from 1 species